rnacentral:rRNA from 1 species
GACGAACGCUGGCGGCGUGCCUAAUACAUGCAAGUCGAGCGAAGCGGCGGAUGGGUGAAAAACGCGUGGGUAACCUGCCCUUAAGUCUGAGAUACUAUUUGGAAACAGAUGCUCAUACCGGAUAUUAAAGGAUGGGCCUUCGAUGCAUUAGCUAGUUGGUAAGGUAACGGCUUACAAAGGCGAUGAUGCAUAGCCGAGUUGAGAGACUGAUCGGCCACAUUGGGACUGAGACACGGCCCAGACUCCUACGGGAGGCAGCAGUAGGGAAUCUUCCACAAUGGACGAAAGUCUGAUCGAGCAACGCCGCGUGAGUGAAGAAGGUUUUCGGAUCGUAAAGCUCUGUUGUUGGUGAAGCGGUAAUCAACCAGAAAGUCACGGCUAACUACGUGCCAGCAGCCGCGGUAAUAC